AAAGUCCUAUUCUUGCUUCUCAUAAUAUGGAUGUGGAGAAUGAGUUCAAUUAUGAAGGUGAAAAAUUUGAGUUUGACAUAUCAUCACUACAAAACCUAUUUGAUGAAGAUUGUUCUCACUAAUAAACAUGCAUUCAUAGCAUAUAUCAUCUUAAUAAAUACAAAAAGUACAAGAUAUGGUAAUGCUAGCUCCACAAGUUGUAAGCAAUCACGUGAGGAUGUGAAUAUAUACCUCUCUGUACAAAGUAUUUUUUCUGAGAACAUUGAACACUUUCCAAUCCAUUUGCAACAUUCGUAUAAAGUAUAA